UACGUAGGGUGCGAGCGUUAAUCGGAAUUACUGGGCGUAAAGCGUGCGCAGGCGGUUUUGUAAGCCAGAUGUGAAAGCCCCGGGCUUAACCUGGGAAUGGCAUUUGGGACUGCAAGGCUUGAGUGCGGCAGAGGAGACUGGAAUUCCUGGUGUAGCAGUGAAAUGCGUAGAUAUCAGGAGGAAUACCGAUGGCGAAGGCAGGUCUCUGGGCUAGAACUGACGCUCAUGCACGAAAGCGUGGGGAGCAAACAGG
rnacentral:rRNA from 1 species